UACGGAGGGUGCAAGCGUUAAUCGGAAUUACUGGGCGUAAAGCGUGCGUAGGCGGUGAUUUAAGUCAGAUGUGAAAGCCCCGGGCUUAACCUGGGAACGGCAUUUGAUACUGGGUCACUUGAGUGUGGUAGAGGAGAGCGGAAUUUCCGGUGUAGCGGUGAAAUGCGUAGAUAUCGGAAGGAACACCAGUGGCGAAGGCGGCUCUCUGGACCAACACUGACGCUGAGGUACGAAAGCGUGGGUAGCAAACAGG
rnacentral:rRNA from 1 species